rnacentral:lncRNA from 1 species
CUUCCGCAUAGACAGUGGAAAAAGAAUGGCCUUUGUAAUUGACCAAAACGAAAAGGUUUCAGUUGGGUGUCAGGAUAAUCCAUAUGGAUUUAAUGGUGCGGUGGUGUAUGGAGAUGAAACCUAUGGCAUGACCUCAAGAUGUAUCCCAGAUAUGACUGGCUACAAUCAAUACCUAACUAGGUAGGUCUAUAAAAUUAAUUGAAAGAAAUGAAUCUUAUGCAGGCUACUCUACUAA